rnacentral:rRNA from 1 species
AUGAUGCAGCGACCUCUUCUGGACAUGUUCCCGGUGCGGCCCCUAGGCUUUGAAGCCUCGCCCACUCCGCCUCUCCAGUGCAACGGCAACCUGCAGCGAACCCCUUCGCCAACCCGUGCUUGCCUUGUUGAUGCUGGACACGACCUUCCCGCUGGCUUGGCAGAGCUCGUUGUGCCCUGUCUAGAGCUUCCAGCAACGCUCUUCUGCUCAAAACAGCCGACGCUCCUGCCGCUCACUUCUGUGCAACCUUCUGAAGCACCCAUGGCAUGA